rnacentral:rRNA from 1 species
CCUACGGGAGACAGCAGUGAGGAAUAUUGGUCAAUGGGCGGGAGCCUGAACCAGCCAAGUAGCGUGAGGGAUGACGGCCCUACGGGUCGUAAACCGCUUUUGCAGGGGGAUAACGCGCUGCACGUGUGGCGGUCUGCAUGUUCCCUGCGAAUAAGGGCUGGCUAAUUACGUGCCAGCAGCCGCGGUAAUACGGAGGGCCCGAGCGUUAUCCGGAUUUAUGGGGGUUAAAGGGAGCGUAGGCGGGCCUGCAAGUCAGGGGGAAAAUCCCGGGGCUCAACCCCGGACCGCAGUUGAAACUGGAGGCCUGGAGUGCACAAGAGGCAGGCGGAAUUCGUGGUGUAGCGGUGAAAUGCAUAGAUAUCACGAGGAACCCCGAUGGCGAAGGCAGCCUGCCGGGGUGCGACUGACGCUGAGGCUCGAAGGCGUGGGGAUCAAACAGGAUUAGAUACCCCUGUAGUC